rnacentral:rRNA from 1 species
GAUGAACGCUGGCGGCGUGCCUAACACAUGCAAGUCGAACGGAGAUUACGGACGGAAGUUUUCGGAUGGAAGACUGUAAUUCUUAGUGGCGGACGGGUGAGUAACGCGUGGGCAACCUGCCCUAUACAGGGGGAUAGCAGCUGGAAACGGCUGGUAAGACCGCAUAAGUCGGUUAAAUCGCAUGAUUUGAUCGGGAAAUGAGCAAUCAGGUAUAGGAUGGGCUCGCGUCCGAUUAGCCAGUUGGCAGGGUAAAAGCCUACCAAAGCGACGAUCGGUAGCCGGGCUGGGAGGUCGGACCGACACAUUGGGACUGAGACACGGCCCAAACUCCUACGGGAGGCAGCAGUGGGGGAUAUUGCACAAUGGAGGAUGCUCUGAUGCAGCGACGCCGCGUGAGUGAUGAAGUAUGUCGGUAUGUAAAGCUCUAUCAGCAGGGGCGAUGAUGACGGUACCUGACUAAGAAGCCCCGGCUAACUACGUG